rnacentral:sRNA from 1 species
GGUUCAAUUCCUAUUGUCCUAGCCA